UGGGAACGUACCUUUCGGUUCGGAAUAACCCGGGAAACUCGGGCUAAUACCGGAUACGUCCGCAAGGAGAAAGAUUUAUCGCCGAAAGAUCGGCCCGCGUCGGAUUAGCUAGUUGGUGAGGUAACGGCCCACCAAGGCGACGACGGGUAGCCGGCCUGAGAGGGUGACCGGCCACACUGGGACUGAGACACGGCCCAGACUCCUACGGGAGGCAG
rnacentral:rRNA from 1 species